AUACUUACCAGGCAACAAUGAUACCAUGAUCACAAAGGUGGUUUCCCCAAGGCAAGGCUUGUCCAUUGCAUUCCAGAUGUGCCGGCCCCUACAGUUUCCCCAAAUGUGGGAAACCCUACUGCACCAUUUGUGGUAGUCGGGGACUGCAUUCAUGUUCUCCUGU
ensembl:snRNA U1 U1 spliceosomal RNA